GACGAACGCUGGCGGCGUGCUUAACACAUGCAAGUCGAACGGUGAAGGGACCGGCUUUUGCUGGUUCUGGAUGAGUGGCGAACGGGUGAGUAACACGUGAGUAACCUGCCCCCUUCUUCUGGAUAACCGCAUGAAAGUGUGGCUAAUACGGGAUAUUCUGCGCCUGCUGCAUGGUGGGUGUGGGAAAGAUAUUGUUUCGGUGGGGGAUGGGCUCGCGGCCUAUCAGCUUGUUGGUGGGGUGAUGGCCUACCAAGGCGGUGACGGGUAGACGGCCUGAGAGGGUGACCGGCCCCGGCCCGACUCCGACGGGGCGCAGCCGUCGGGGAUAUUUAGCAGUGGGGAAUAGUCCACAACGGGCGGACCCCGGAUGGGGCGGCGGCCUUCGGGUUGUAAACCUCUUUCGCCAGUGAAGCGGGCCUGUCCCUUAUGUGGGUGGGUUGACGGUAGCUGGAUAAGAAGCGCCGGCUAACUACGUG
rnacentral:rRNA from 1 species